GACCCCAGGUCAGGUGGGGCUACCGCUGAGUUUAAGCAUAUAAAUAAGCGGAGGAGAAAAACUUACAAAGGAUUCCCUUAGUAGCGGCGAAGCGAGGCGGGAUCAGACCAGCUUGAGAAUCGGGCGGCUGCGUCAUCUGAAUUGUAGAAUCGGAGAAGCGUCCUCGGCGACGGACCGGGCCCAAGUCCCCUAGAAAGAAAGGGGGGGGAGGUGAAGCCCCGUCGGCUCGGACCCUGUCCUUUCCAGGCUGUCGGCAAGUCGGGUUGUUUGGGAAUGCAGCCCCAAUCGGGCGGUAAAUUCUGUCAAAGGCUAAAUAUGGGCGAGAGGCCGAUAGCGAACAAGUACCGCGAGGAAAGAUGAAAAGGACUUUGAAAAGAGAGUCAAAAAGUGCUUGAAAUUGCCGGGAGGGAAGCGGAUGGGGGCGGCGAUGCACCUGGUCGGAUGUGGAACGGCGGUUAGCCGGUCCGCCCUUCGGCUUCGAAGUCUGCGGAUCGAUCACGGGCUGCAUCGGCGGCGAAAGCCGGACGGAUCGUUCGUUCGAGGCAUACCGUCGAUGCGGUCGAGGACAUGGCCGCGCAGCGCCAUCGGCGUGCCCUACGGGAAACCACGUCGCGACCUAGGCAUCGGCGGUGGGCUCCCCAUCCGACCCGUCUUGAAACACGGACCAGGGAGUCGACAUGCGUCGCGAGUCGGCGGGUGCGGAAACCGGAAAGGCACAAAGGAAGCUAACGGGCGGGAACCCUCUCGAGGGGUUGCCGCGGCCCGACCCGAUCUUCGUGAAGGGUUGAGAUGGAGCAUGCAUGUCGGGACGAAAGAUGGUGAACUAUGCCCGGCGGCGAAGCCGGAGGAAACUUCGGUGGAGGCCCGGCGAUCUUGACGUACAAAUCGUUAAAUCGACUUGGGUAUAGAGGCGAAAGACUAAUCGAACCAUCUAGUAUUUGGUUCCCUCAGUUUCCCUCGGGAUAGCUGGAGACCACGUGCGAGUUCUAUCGGGUAAAGCCAAUGAUUAGAGGCAUCGGAAGGCGCCCUCGACCUAUUCUCAAACUUUAAAUAGGUAGGAUGGCGGCUACGCCGUUGAGCGCGUCGUCAGCGAAUCGAAAGCUCUCAAGUGGGCCAUUUUUGGUAGCGAGGCUGGCGUCGGGAUGAAGCAGGAAGCGGGUUACGGUGCCCAACUGGCGGCGCUAACCAGACACCACAAAGGGUGUUGGUCGAUUAAACAGCGGGGCGGUGGUCAUGGAAGUCGAAAUCCGCUAAAGUGUGUAACGACUCACCUGCCGAAUCAACUAGCCCGAAAAUGGAUGAAGCGUGACCCCACCCGACCAUCGGGGCGGCGUAAGCCCGAUGAGUAGGAGAACACGGCGGUCGCCCAUAAAACCAGAAGCUUGAGCCGGGCGGGCGCCGUCGGUGCAGAUCUUGGUGGUAGUAGCAAAUAUUCAAAUGAGAACUUUGAAGGCGAAAGGGGGAAAGGUUCCAUGUGAGCGGCACUUGCACAUGGGUUAGCCGAUCCUAAAGGGGCCGGGGAAGCCUGUCAGGCGUGUCUCCAGCAUGACUCGAAAGGAAUCGGGUUAAAAUUCGAGCAGGGCCGGCGGGGACAACAACGUUAAGGAAGUCCGGAGGCGUCGGCGGGGGCUCGGAAAAGUUAUCUUUUCUGCUUAACGGCCCACCCACCCUGGAAAGCGGCUCGGCCGGAGGUAGGGUCCAGCGGUCGGAAAGCGCCGCCACGUCGCGGCGUCGGUCGCCCGGCGACCCUUGAAAAUCGGAGGACGGAAGUGCCGCCAGCGCCCGGUCGUACUCAUAACGCAUCAGGUCUUCAAGGUGAACGACCUCGGCCCAUGGAACAAUGUAGGCAAGGAAGUCGGCAAAAACGGAUCCGUAACCCGGAAAAGGAUUGGCUCGAGGGCUGGGCGGGGGUCCGGCCCGAACCCGUCAUUUGUCGGUGGACUGCUCGAAAGCUGCUCUGGCGAGGGCGGGUCGCCAGCGUCCCGGCGGGGACGGGACGGGAAUGGCCCCCCGGGGGCCUUCCCGGCGUCGAACAGCCGACUUCGAGCUGGUGCGGACAAAGGGAAUCCGACUGUUUAAUUAAAACAAAGCAUUGCGAUGGUCCCCAUGGAUGCUCCAUAAUGUGAUUUUCGCCCGGUGCUCACGAAUGUCAAAGUGAAGAAAUUCAACCAAGCGCGAGUAAGCGGCGGGAGUAACUAUGACUCUCUUAAGGUAGCCAAAUGCCUCGUCAUCUAAUUAGUGACAGCGCAUGAAUGGAUUAACGAGAUUCCCCACUGCCCCCAUCUACUAUCAGUGAAACCACAGCCAAGGGGAGCGGGCUUGGCAGAAUCAGUGGGGAAAGAAGACCCUGUUGAGCUUGACUCUAGUCCGACUUUGUGAAAUGACUUGAGAGGUGUAGGAUAAAGUGGGGGCGGUUCAGCCGGAAGUGAAAUACCACUACUUUUAACGUUAUUUUACUUAUUCCGUGAGUCGGGGCGGGGCCCGCCCCUCCUUUUGGACCCAAGGCCGCCUAGCGGGCGAUCCGGCGGAAGACAUUGUCGGUGGGGAGUUUGGCUGGCGGCACAUCUGUUAAAAGAUAAGCGCGGGUGUCCUAAGAUGAGCUCAACGAGAACAGAAAUCUCGUGUGGAACAAAGGGUAAAAGCUCGUUUGAUUCUGAUUUCCCGAUGCGAAUCUGAACCAUGAAAGCGUGGCCUAUCGAUCCUUUAGGUGCCGAAUUUGAAGCUAGAGGUGUCGGAAAAGUUACCACAGGGAUAAGCGGCUUGUGGCGACCAAAGCGUUCAUAGCGACGUUGCUUUUUUGAUCCGCCGAUGUCGGCUCUUCCUAUCAUUGUGAAGCAGAAUUCACCAAGUGUUGGAUUGUUCACCCACCAAUAGGAGCGUGAGCUGGGUUUAGGCCGUGUGAGAGAGACAGGUUAGUUUUACCCUCGAUGAUGAUCGUGUCGCGAUAGUAAUUCAACCUGAAGUACGAGAGGAACCGUUGAUUCACACAAUUGGUCAUCGGCGCUUGGUUGAAAAGCCGGUGGAUGUGGAAACUUCCGAUGUGUCGGAUUAUGACUGAACGCCUCUAAGUCAGAAUCCUAGCUAGCAACGGCGCUCUCGCCCGUCGUUAAGCCUCCGACCCACGGUAGGGGCCUUUGGCCCCAUGGGCUCGAUAAUGGCGGUGUAGCCCUCGUGGUGGUAUAGCCGCGGGCGACCAUCGGGAAGUGAAAUUCCCGCG
rnacentral:rRNA from 1 species